AUUAUUUGUAGCCACUUGACUUCAUAUUGUGCUGCCAGUGGCUUGGUCAACGAUUAUAAUUACCACUUCCCUGUUUGUAUCAUUUUCCAUCUCCUGUGCUUUUAGUGCAGUAUUACUUCUUGUGUCCCUCUCUCUCCCUCUCUUCCUCCCUCUCUCUCGUAUACACAAGACCAAAAGUGCAGGCACAUCAUUUAUUGAUAAGACAAAAAGAAUGUAAUGAAAUUAUCAAUGUUCUUGAAUUAAUUAUGAACAUGAUUAAGAAAGCUAAAAUCUCAGGAGCCGGUCUCUCAUUACCCAUUCACUCUUAGGGAUUGCUUUCAUUCAGGGAAGGAGAGGCGAAAAAGCCUGGCAGCAGAGCCCAGUCCGGCUCAGUCCUUCUCCCUGCGUGCCUGUCCCCUGUCUCUGCUGCCGGGCUGAUUGACCAGCCCCUCUGUCAGACCGGCUGCCUGCCCACCUGGACGCUACUCUCGCACACAUCCAUGCGUGUGGCUGUGAUGUAGCCGAGCUCAGCUAGCUGCCUCGUGGCCUCUGACGUUCUGGAAACCAGAGGACGUGCUCAAUCUUCCAGUACACCUGCGUUGAACCUCUGGGGUCCUGACCCUCCUAAAACAGAAACACUUGCGGUACUUGUGUGAAAGUGAGCAGAGAUACAGCAAACGGAGCAGCGAGUCCUGCAUAGCAUGAGGUAAAUACUGUACAUGUUAGUAUGAUAUGUAUGAAUGAAUAAACCCUCAAAGCAGGAUUAAAGCCUUUCUUAGUCUUGAGCUUUUUAGGAUUGCCCACGUGGAAAUGCUCAUAUUCUCAAUGGAGGGUUUGAAAGGAGGCCUGAGUGAGUGAUUCCACAGACGGCGGAGUGUCUAAAAGUAAGCAGCUGAACAAAAAGCAGAACAAAGAAGACGAAGAGGACGUGAGGAACAGAGAAAACGGAGUUGAAGACGGAGGAAGAGGGGAGGUACAAACAAGGAGCAUAAGUGGAGUCAGAGAAAAUGAUAGAUGAAAACACACUGUCUGCUCCCUGCUCCCGCUGUGUGUGCACAUGUAUUUCUGUUUUAAUGGUUGGGGUCAUGUGUCAAUUCAGGAGGAGUCUUAACUUCAAGGCUGGAGGGCACGUUCAACCCACAGGCCGUUUAGGUAUCUCUUCAAGCCCACUCAUGGCCACCAGGCUCCUCUCUUAGCAUGCAAAUGAGACAGGAACAAAUGUCCUUUCACUUCUGGGGCUCCAUGUCCCAAAGUGCUUAACACUCUUCCUGUCAAGCCUCCACUCAAGCUUCUUCAACCCCCCCCUCCUGCACCUCCCUCGCCAUUUUUCCCUCUCUUUUAUGUUCUUUAAAUGAGCUUUUCAACUCCGCUUCUUUCUCACAAUUCAAUUUUACAAGGCCAUUAUCCCGUGUGCAAUGUGGAGGUUAAAUAUAUCGGGGCAGACGUUAUGUGAAAAUAAUUAGUGCUAAUGAAUAAUGUACUCAUUCAGCUGAUGAAGGAUGGUUGUCAGGGUAAUGGAGUGCAAGGAGGGGCCCCUCUGACAAAUGAAAUUAUAAUAUUUAAACACUGUUUUACAAUAUUAACGGGCCCUCACUUCUGUUACCUAGUCUCUACAUGGAGCCUCUGUGUGACAUGAUAGUCGUAGCCAUUACUCAUGCGUGUGUCUCACCAAAGACGGAGCUGGAUAUGAGGAGGAAAUGUCCCCAUACCAGCCUUUUACAGUACCUUUUACCACAGCUAAUCAUCUCUGGCCUGUUAAUCACUUGGAGAACAUCAGCCGACCUCAUCGACAGCCGCUGUCCGUCUGCCAGAUUAUAUUUCGCAGCCUUUAUUUAUUGCCACCACACUCAUCCGGUCUCUUACAAUCUCAUUCUGCGCCCAUCAUGUGACAAUGAGGGGAUGCAGGUUUUAAAUUACCAGGUUUACAGCACCCUAACAAUCAGGUGGCCUUUACGAAUCAAUACCACCGGACCAUCAGCACCAGCACAGUGUUAUUGGAAAUCAGGCUUAGAGGAAACAAUGUUCAGUAGCAGGGGGCAAAAAAAUGGUAAUACUUAUUGGUCAAUGGCUUGUUUGCUAAUUCCAGAUGAGCUGGAUCACACAAGUUACUAAAUAUCAGUAUCACAGUGUUCUGGUCACAGUUCGAUACGUAAAAUAAGUUUCACAUCACAAGCAAUGAUUGUUAAGACGUUUAAGCAAAAGACACAAACAUUAAUAUCUCAAUAAAAUAAAGAAAACUAAAUCAGUGGCACAGGUAAAUUCUACUUAAAGGAGCAAACGACCCAAAAAUCAUUUCGAAUCCUGCUUGACUUGAAGGCAGGGCUGGUUUUGUGUUCACAGGACAGUAGCUGUUAUAAAGGAAAAGGCUGCAAGCAUUGAAGUGUGCUGCGCGCUCCCUGGGGCUCAGCAGAAACAAGCAUAACAGCAACAUCUAACAACUUCCAUUUUAUUAAUCUCACAAUUUGCAGAUUGGCACCAUAUACAUUUGACUUGUAAAACAGACCUAAUUACAGGGCCUGGAGUAUAUGCAAGCAACACAUCAAACACAGUAAGUUACAGUAAGAGCCUAUGAUCUCAGUCGCAUUCUCACCCCCCCCCCCCCCCUUCCCCCUCCUCCGCCUCAGCAGGCCAGAAACACUGUAACAGGAACAUUAAAAGGGAAUUACAGCGAAACAAUUUACACUUAAUGUAGCAGUCAUAUGAGCAGUGAAGAGGGAUGGACAAAGAUAUGGCAGGAUUAAUAAUACAUGUUUUAAUUAGGCAGCUAGCAAUGCAUAGAGCAGGAUCAAGGGAACAAGGGAAGACGGAGGAAAAAGUGGAGGAGAACGGGGGGAUGUGGUGACAGAAAGACAUCUGAAGGAAAAACACGGGAAUGAGCAACCGAAGGACCGAGACAGAGUGGAGCAGAGUGGAGGAGGAGGGACAAAGACUGGAAUAUGUGGCUGUGGGUUUUCUGUGCGCCGUGAUUCAUGGCUAGUAAAUAUGCACGGCCUGAUGGCCAUAAGGCAAUCAGAGGAGCGCCACUCAUCUACAUGUUGCACAGUGGGCUAUAAUCCAUCUGAGGGGCAAGAAAUAAUGAUACCAGCAAGAAGGAAUAAGAGCAGGGUCUGUUUAUUACCUCAGACAGAAGCAUAAUGCAUACAGAUGUGAGGGAGGCACGCAGAAGCCUCUGGCCACAGAACUCCUCGGAAAAGAGAGUGCAGAGAGUAAUAUUGUGCUUAGUGUAAUGAAAGACAAUCUGAUUUAAGCGCUGGUUAAGGCAAAAUGUCUGAUGUCAUAUAAAGUUUUAAUACAAGUGCUACUGCCAUAUUGAUCACAGAAGGACCGGAUCUGGACACGCAGAGAUGAGGAAGAGCUCAUCUGACGCCUCAGAGCAACGAUAAGGUCACCGCUAAAUUAUACAGAUGUUGAAAUAAGGAUGCACACCCUCAUGUAAGGUUCUCAUUUGGUCCAGCUAUGCUCACUUCAAGCAUAGAUCUGUAUGGAUAAACGCUGGCAGUGGUAAUAAAGCUGUAAUUUCACUUAAUGGUGUCGUGGUGUCUGCUUUUCUUUAUUUGCGAGCAGACGCGCAUAAACAUCCAGACGCCCUCCAACACAAAGAGCUCGCUGCCCCGUCUCCUCACAGAGGACAUUAACACCGGGAUUCUUCUGGUGCUGGACAUCAUAAACAAGUAGGAGCCACAUUUAUUUUCCCUCCAAAAUCAAAAGGGGACGUUCAGAAAGGAGCCAUGAAGGUUCCACCGAACGCGAAGCAACCGGAGGUCACGGACGGAACCUUCUGAUCAUAAACUCUUCGUUUCCGAUUCACUAACGAUCUGUCUGGAUAGAACAGACUAAAGCCAACAUGAUGAGUGGUUCGACCCAAGAAAGCCUUUGUGCCAGUUCAACAUGGUGAAGUUCAACCUCCACAGUCACUGUUCAGUGUGGUUAUGUAUUUAAACGUGCUUCUGGAGAUAUUAUGAGACUUAAUACGCUGGUUGGACUGUGUCACAUACCUCCAAUGUUUCACUGUUUUGCUGAGGAUUUUGUAAUUAAGCAGAUGAACCUUUGAGACAUUAAGUGCUUAUGACUAGUGUAGACGACUGGACGUUUGCCCCACACUGUUUGGAUAGCAAGCAUCUUUUGAAGGCAUCUGUGUAAGCGGGAGUGAUUACAGUAAGAAAAUCCCAUCAGUGUUGAUAAGGGCACUUGAGCACUGCUUUAACAGAAAACAACGUAAAGAACCCAGCAGGCUGUUUUCUCUUCUUCCCAUAUGAGCUUCACUAACUGGCUGCUGAUUAUAGCCCUAAAUUUAAUGAACACUAUAAAAUGUCAUGCUAUACAUGGUAGUCCCCAAAACCGUCUUCAUUUAAUUCCACAGGAUGCCAAUUUGCUUUUAUAGUCUAAGGUUUGUCAAAUACUGAAUAUAUAAAAACACGACGAAUGACGUCAACAUCGGUGAUGACGACUGGCUCACGAGCCCCGUCCAGAUCUUAAAACUCAUAUAGCGAUGCAAACAUUAUUGCCAUCAUAUUAGUUACAGAGGUUGGCCUAUUCCUGUGGUUUUAUUUUAUGUUCAUGUGCUUUCAUUAAAACCUAAUAAUAAAGACAACGUAACCUCAUCAGGUUUCUGACUGUGUGGCAAUAGUGCAUGACAUGAUUUGUGCUAUUGUUUACACAAAUUUAAUUAAAGCUGUAAAUAUCAACUGACUACUAAUAUUAUUUGAAAAACAACUAUUUAAACAUUGUUUAACUGGGCAAGAAAUCUGAUAUAAAACGUAUAAGUACAUGGUGACAUGAAAUGUACAAGAUGACUUGUUAGCACCGGUCCUAUUUGUCUGUUACGCUGCUGUUGUUGUCACUAAUCAUCAGCCUUGUGGUAAUGGGUGGAGGGUCCGUCUGUAAUGUGACCUUUGACACAUAA